rnacentral:rRNA from 1 species
AAACGUAGGAGGCAAGCGUUAUCCGGAUUUACUGGGCGUAAAGCGCAUGCAGGUGGUUUUGUAAGUUGGAUGUGAAAGCUCCUGGCUUAACUGGGAGAGGUCGUUCAAAACUACAAGACUUGAGAUUGGUAGAGGAAAAUGGAAUUCCGGGUGUAGUGGUGAAAUGCGUAGAUAUCCGGAGGAACACCAGUGGCGAAAGCGGUUUUCUAGCCUCCUCCCGACGCUGAGGCACGAAAGCAAGGGGAGC